rnacentral:rRNA from 1 species
GUGUAACACGUGGGUAAUCUGCCGUGAAGUCUGGAAUAACUUGCUGAAAGGCGAGCUAAUACCGGAUGUGAACGCAAGUUCAAAGUUGGGGACCGUAAGGCCUGACGCUUCACGAUGAGCCCGCGGCCUAUCAGCUAGUUGGUGAGGUAACGGCUCACCAAGGCUAAGACGGGUAGCUGGUCUGAGAGGACGACCAGCCACACUGGAACUGAGACACGGUCCAGACACCUACGGGUGGCAGCAGUCGAGAAUUUUUCUCAAUGGGCGAAGGCCUGAUGGAGCGACGCCGCGUGGGGGAUGAAUGGCUUCGGCCCGUAAACCCCUGUCAUUUGCGAACAAGUUGUUUCACCUAACACGUGAAGCAUUGAUUGUAGCGGAAGACGAAGGGACGGCUAACU